CAAUAGCGUAUAUUAAAGUUGUUGCAGUUAAAAAGCUCGUAGUUGGAUUUCUGGUUGAAGCGACCGGUCGGGCGUUGAUUCGUCUGCACUGGAGUCGGUUUUGGCCAUCCUCUAGGAAAGUGCGUCUGGUAUUAAGUUAUCGGGCGUAUGAUCCUGGUCUUUUACUGUGAAAAAAUUAGAGUGUUUAAAGCAGGCCUUCGCCUUGAAUACAUUAGCAUGGAAUAAUAAGAUAGGACUUUGGUCUAUUUUGUUGGUUUGCAGACCGAAGUAAUGAUUAAUAGGGAUAGUUGGGUGUAUUUAUAUUCCGAUGUCAGAGGUGAAAUUCUUAGAUUUUCGGAAGAUAAACUUAUGCGAAAGCAUUUACCAAGGAUGUUUUCAUUAA
rnacentral:rRNA from 1 species